GCUUGAGAGCCACUUGAGCAAAUCCACACUUCUUCUUUCUGCUCUCACUCACCCUUCAUUCUCUACUCAACCAUUCAAAUUCAAUUCAUAGUACUUAAAAGAAAAAUCAAAGUUUUGAGCUUAACAACCAUGUCAUUAUCUAUAUCUACCACCAUAACCACCAGUGGUCACUACUCAAACCAACUCUAAGCAAAACCCAAGUUGUUUUCUUCAAGAAACCAUUUUUCUUGUAGCUUCUCAAAUACCCAUUUUGUCAAAAUCGUUCCUUUUUGUGGUUAAAGCUUCAUCUGAUGUUGGGUCAGAAGCACUCAAAUAAGGAGAAGAAGAGAAGGCUUACGACUAUACAAGAAUGCUAAUACGAGGAAGCAUUAGAGAAAUUUGAGUCAGUUUUGGGAACAAAGCCAGAGCCUGAUAAAGCAGCAGUGGCAAGUUAUAAUGUUGCUCGUUGUUACUCAAAGCUUAACCAGCUAUAUAUGUUUGUUCACUUUACAAAUUAAGCAUCAAAAUUCGAAGAGCAAAAGAGUUACAAAAUGGUCAAAAGGAAGCAGGUAAAAAAAGGAAAUUUUCAUCUUUUUACCAAGUGGUUGUUGAUGCUGAUAAAAUAGUCAUUUGGAUGAAGAUGAUUUAAGUGGCCAUGGUGGUAACAGAAAGGUUUGUCGAGUCCCGUUGAAGAGGGAUGGUUGUGGCUUUGAAGCAACUGAAGAAAAGAAUAUUUUAGAGAAAAUCAGAUAUAGAACUAUACUUGAACUUUAUGCUUGUUUUUAAAGGAAGAAUCAAUCUUUUAGUUUUGAGUACAUGCCAUAUGGUAAUCUUUUUGAAGCUCUUCUUAAAAAUAUAAAAGAUGAGAAUGUUGCUUGGGAUUGGAAUCAGGGGUAUAAAAUUGCUUUGAAGGGUGCAAAAGGGAUUUGCUAUUUCCACCGUGAUUGUUCUCCACCUGUUAUUCAUAGCAGCAUCUUGCUUGGUAAAGAUUAUGAGGCAGAAAUUUCUGAAUUUGGUGUUGCAUGGUUUGCUGAAAAGUCUCAGAUGGGUUAUAGCUUUUUGGCUGGCACACAUGGUUAUAUUGCUCCAGGUAUGUUUUGAUAUUGCUUUCAACAACAAAUUUCAAUAUAUUGUUUUUAGUUUCAUUACUUCUUCAUUGGUUUUGGAUCAUUUUGCUAAGUGUAUCUAAUUUGUAUAUAGUUUUCUAAAUAGAUUUAAUCAUUCUAUAUAUGUUGUGUGUAAUUCAGUCCAAUAAUCACUUUAUAUAUGUAAUAUAACGUCGGCAACAUUAUUUUUGAGUCUUAUAACAUUUAAGAAAGCAUGUUCCAACUUAAUAUUACACUAUUUUGGAUCCAUUUAAGUCCCGCAUUGGCCAGAACAUCACAUAAGCAAGUGUUUAUAAAUGUCUUACAUGCUAGUUAGUUCGCCGAGCUGAGUAGCGCCAGCUUGUGACCCAUGUGGGGGCAUCAAGGUGAUGGAACAUGGCUAAGGCUUAACAGGUUGGUCUGGAGGUUGCACCAUGAUGGCCUGCCCGCUCCAAGUUGCGAGUUGAUCCACAAGACUUUGUGCGAAGGCACGAGUCUUGUGCGUCUUAGACAGGAGGGUACCGCGUGAGGCUGGUUUCACAGAGCAGCGAACACUUCCUACUCCUGACAGUGGAGGGAUCACGGGCCGCUGCACCUACAGCCCACAAUACCUGGUCAGCCUAGCCCCUUGAACCAUCUCUUUUUUUGGGGUUGGGUUGGGGUUCAUUGAUCCAUAUACCUCUUGGAUCCUUUAUCAUACAAUCAAUAAUUUCACUUAAGAGUUUGGCAUUGUCCUUCAAAAAAGAAAGGCAAACAAUAUUGAACCUCCAUUAAAAUUUUUCAGACAUUAAGUUUCAUUAUGCAGACUUGCUAAAUAUUUUAACUUAGUGACUACACAUCAAUACAUUACUCACAUUUGACAGCACAACCUACUUUGUAAAUUAGCAUGUUGGCUUAUAACAUUUUCUAUACUAGUGUUCCUAACUGGUAGUUUGGUUGAAGUGAACACCAUUUUUAUGUCCACUGUUUAUCAUUUAUUCAAACAAAAUCAUUUCUAACAAUCUCUAGAGGCUGGUGAUUUUUUUUUCUAUACUAGUGCUCCAAAUUUGUAUGAUCAAGUUAUUGUCCUGUUUACAUUACAUGAAGGGUCAUUUUGUGUAUAUGAAUUUCAAAAUCCUUUUUUAAAAAGUAAAACAGUGUGCUUUUGUUUGAUCCAUAAUGAUUAAGUUAAAAUGUUCAACAUCAACAAUGUACACCAUAUUUUGGGACUGAAUAUCAGAUGCAGAACUGUCUAACAAAAAAAUUGACAGAGCGUCCGGAAAAUGAUUUGAGAGAAUGCUUACAAUUUUACAAGUAAAACUACUGGACUCAAUUGAUUUCUCUGUCCUUUUUCCGAUUUUCUGAACAAUUUUCCUUCUUUUAUCUUGCCCUUGACAUUUCUGAGUGACAUUUGAGUUGCAGUAUAUUCUUCAAGAACACAUCACUCAAGAGUUCUUAGUAUGUAGAAAAAUGUAAAAGUGCAACACCAAAGUGACACUUUAAAGACAAAAGAAAUUGAACGAGUUUUGGUGGGGUGUGCCAGGCUAUUGCAAUAGUGCAACACAAAAGCGACACUUGAGAGACCCAAUAGCAAGCUAUUGUAGUGGACUCUCCCCCUCAAGAAAUAAAUUUAAUAUCGUGUGGACCAUUGGCCCACAUAUCAGAUAUUAAACUGAUAAGAACAGAUACUACACUUGAUCUUAGCCAAAAGGCCGAGAAAGGUUCCACCAUGUGGAUAGACCUUAGGAUAGCAAGCACCCCCUCCUAAAUGCAAUGAAGGUCACUCUCCUAGGCCAUGGUCAUUCAUGAUCAACCAUUGACCCCUUCCAGGUAAGUAUGUUGUAAUGGAGCUAUUCAAGUAUUUUUAUACUCUUGCUUCUCUCAAUACCUUUCACCUUCUUUCGAUGUGGGACUCAACUAUUAGAAGGCAAUGUAUUUCCCAACUUGUGUAAGAUUGAUCGACAAAAGGGUGCACGCUGAAGGUGUAACUUGGAGUCGAAGACAGCAGAGCAUGUGCUGCUGCAAUAUAAUAAGAGCAUUCAGACUGUUGCUAAAUAGGAACGCUGGAGAGAAAAUCGGUCACAUAUUAAAUGCACUGUCAAAGGAGAAAAGUAGUAUUGGCUAUGGGCUGCAAGUUUGUACUUUUUGUCGGAUAUAUUACCUAUUUUUAUUCAACACUCCUUUAAAUGGUUCUUAAGAAAAACCUGGUUUGAAUUGUAAGUGCUUAUUUUAAGCUAUCAUAUUUGCUGCAGGUGAAGUAAAUAUCUCCUUGUGAGGUUUGUGCUUCGUUGGAUGGAAUGAUGAAUCCAUUGCUUUAGAAACAUACUAUUGAAUAUAGGCUACAAUCUGUUCCAUUUAAAAUCCAUGCUUUCUUAAACCCAAAAGUCAUGUUAAUUUUAAUGCUUUCUAAAAAUUAUUAUAUCU